UUCUAAUAUGGCAGAUUAGUGCAAUGGAUUUAAAUCCCAUAUAUAAGGUUUAUACCUUUUUUAGAA
rnacentral:tRNA from 1 species